rnacentral:rRNA from 1 species
AGGACGAACGCUGGCGGCGUGCUUAACACAUGCAAGUCGAGCGGAAAGGCCCUUCGGGGUACUCGAGCGGCGAACGGGUGAGUAACACGUGAGCAACCUGCCCUUAGCUUCGGGAUAGCUCCGGGAAACCGGAAUUAAUACCGAAUAUGACUUUGGCUGACAUCAGCAGAAGUGGAAAGUUUUUCGGCUAGGGAUGGACUCGCGGCCUAUCAGCUAGUUGGUGAGGUAACGGCCCACCAAGGCGACGACGGGUAGCCGGG